rnacentral:rRNA from 1 species
AAUCUUCCACAAUGUGCGAAAGCCUGAUGGAGCAACGCCGCGUGAGUGAAGAAUGUUUUCGGAUCGUAAAACUCUGUUUUAAGGGAAGAACAAGUACAGUAGUAACUGGCUGUAUCUUGACGGUACCUUAUUAGAAAGCCACGGCUAACUACCAUCCAGCAGCCGCGGUAAUACGUCGGUGGCAAGCGUUGUCCGGAAUUAUUGAGCGUAAAGCGAGCGCAGGCGGUCCUUUAAGUCUGAUGUGAAAGCCCACGGCUCAACCGUGGAGGGUCAUUGGAAACUGGGGGACUAGAGUGCAGAAGAGGAAAGUAGAAUUCCAAGUGUAGCGGUGAAAUGCGUAGAGAUUUGGAGGAACACCAGUGGCGAAGGCGACUUUCUGGUCUGUAACUGACGCUGAGGCGCGAAAGCGUGGGGAGCAAACA